CUCGAUACGACGCGAGCGGCCAGUGGGAACGGGAAUUCGCCGUGCGUGUCGCGGGGGCGACGAAAUCGCCAUUAUUUAACAAUUCGUGACCGUUUGCUUCAAUCUCGGCCCCACUGGCCUCGAAGGCUACCUCGUCGUUGCCGGUCAGGGCUCUGGGAGCAAUCGACCACGAUAACGACCAAAUUUUGGGACUCGCUUGUAAUCAGAGGUGGAACGUUUCUAAAGGGGCUCUUCCCAAGCCCCCGAGCCAGAAUGGACGCGUUCGCAGAGUACGUUCACACCAAUUGACCAGACCUUACCAUCGACUGGUGCCCAGGCCUCGCUGGAGGAUAGAUAGGACAUCCUCCUCGACUUUGGAGGCGGGUAUCCUCGAUUCGACGCGACCCAUCGCGACUACGGAGGUCUCUGCGGUCUCGCUUCUCCUGGGAACUGCGGAAAACUGUAUUUAACGCGGGAAGAGCCUGUGAUCGAUACCCCCCGGGAGAGACCGAAAACGGGUCAUAAAGGAGCCCUGACCGCGAACACGUGGACUUAAGCUCCAAGACCCUCCGAACCGGUCUGUCCGACUCUAAUUUCCGCUCCGACGAUCCGAGAAACUUCCGACCGUUGAGCGCCUGGCGAACGGUUGAUAACGUUGGAACGAGAGAUUUCUACAAAAUUGUAGAAAUGGAGAUGAAACAACUGUUACUGGGAGGAUCAAUUCGGAAGACACGCGCGAUGCGUCCCAGAUUCUACAAUCACCCUGUACAUAGGAUGAACCAAUCAAGCUGCGUCACACGAGUAACAAGUGCACUCGUGGAGACCAGGAGCAUUUGAUACCACGAGACACCAUGCGCAGGAAGCUUCACGUUUACAAGUGGAAGCGAGGAAAGCGAGAUCAAUGUUGGACUGCGACCUGGUCCGUUGAACGCAUGAUUACUUAAUCGAUAAGGAAGCUUAAAAGGAUCCUUAUCGUGUUCGUUUCAAUUUCAAGAUAAAUUUGUAAACAACGAAAGUGUAACUCCACGUACAUUCCUCGAUGACAAA